rnacentral:rRNA from 1 species
CCUACGGGUGGCAGCAGUGAGGAAUAUUGGUCAAUGGACGAGAGUCUGAACCAGCCAAGUAGCGUGAAGGAUGACUGCCCUAUGGGUUGUAAACUUCUUUUAUAUGGGAAUAAAAUGUUCCACGUGUGGGAUUUUGUAUGUACCAUAUGAAUAAGGAUCGGCUAACUCCGUGCCAGCAGCCGCGGUAAUACGGAGGAUCCGAGCGUUAUCCGGAUUUAUUGGGUUUAAAGGGUGCGUAGGUGGAUUUUUAAGUCAGUUGUGAAAGUUUGCGGCUCAACCGUAAAAUUGCAGUUGAAACUGGCAGUCUUGAGUACAGUAGAGGUGGGCGGAAUUCGUGGUGUAGCGGUGAAAUGCUUAGAUAUCACGAAGAACUCCGAUUGCGAAGGCAGCUUACUGGACCGCAACUGACACUGAGGCUCGAAAGUGUGGGUAUCAAACAGGAUUAGAUACCCUUGUAGUC